rnacentral:rRNA from 1 species
CCUACGGGAGGCAGCAGUGAGGAAUAUUGGUCAAUGGACGAAAGUCUGAACCAGCCAAGUAGCGUGAAGGAUGACUGCCCUAUGGGUUGUAAACUUCUUUUAUAAAGGAAUAAAACGAGGCACGUGUGCCUUUUUGCAUGUACUUUAUGAAUAAGGAUCGGCUAACUCCGUGCCAGCAGCCGCGGUAAUACGGAGGAUCCGAGCGUUAUCCGGAUUUAUUGGGUUUAAAGGGAGCGUAGAUGGGUUUUUAAGUCAGUUGUGAAAGUUUGCGGCUCAACCGUAAAAGUGCAAUUGAUACUGGCAGCCUUGAGUACAGUUGAGGUAGGCGGAAUUCGUGGUGUAGCGGUGAAAUGCUUAGAUAUCACGAAGAACCCCGAUUGCAAAGGCAGCUUACUAAACUGUGACUGACAUUGAUGCUCGAAAGUGUGGGUAUCAAACAGGAUUAGAUACCCGAGUAGUC